UACGUAGGGUGCAAGCGUUAUCCGGAAUUAUUGGGCGUAAAGAGCUCGUAGGCGGUUUGUCGCGUCUGCUGUGAAAACUGGGGGCUCAACCCCCAGCCUGCAGUGGGUACGGGCAGACUAGAGUGCGGUAGGGGAGAUUGGAAUUCCUGGUGUAGCGGUGGAAUGCGCAGAUAUCAGGAGGAGCACCAAUGGCGAAGGCAGAUCUCUGGGCCGUAACUGACGCUGAGGAGCGAAAGCAUGGGGAGCGAACAGG
rnacentral:rRNA from 1 species